UCCUCUUCACCAGGAGCAUGAGCUGUGCAGUGAUGCUGCUGUUGGUGGGGGCCUUAGUCCUGCUUGGGCCGUAAGCUGAGGUGGCACUUCUGGAGUUGGUGCUCCAAGCAAGGGUGGCUUCUUCCAGAAGCAUGCAGAAUGGAAAUGGACCAUGAAAGGUAUCAUGUGCUGGUGAAGGCAGCUGGGGCAGCACUAACAGAGAGUAGAUUUAUGAUGCCCAUUCCUGGAGGCACAUUUUCAAAAGCAAAUGAUAAAGAUUCCAGACCUGAUCCAGUGAAGAUGUAGGUGAGUACAUCACUGAUGUGCAAGCUCAAAACCAGGGCUUAAUAGGUCCUUUCUAAAUGCUUGCCUGAUGUUUAUACCACCUAAAACUUGCUACUUGG
rnacentral:lncRNA from 1 species